ACAAGCUGGUCAUGGGUUGGAGAAAGGAGAGAUCCAUGCAGAAAGAGUCAUCUGGCAGAGAUCACAUCCUCCUUGACGAUAUUACUGAUCUGAAGAAACGCACUGACAAGCGAGAACAAAAAAUAGCAGACAUCACUGAAAAGCUGCACAAUGAAUUAGUUGUUCUUGGUCAAUUCCUGACUGAUGUUGCUCAAAGGAGACCUCAGAAUACAAGCCAUGGAAGCAAGUCCUUUACAGACCCCAGACCACCUACAGUUUUGAAGAACUACCUGGAAUCCUGCAGAACACUAUCACUGCAUUCUCCCCAUUCAACAUUUCAGGAAAAUGCUGGGGAUUGAAAUUUCUGAAUGAGUUAUACAUGUAAUUUAAAGCCAGCCACACAUGAGAGUUACAUGUACGCGCUUAGCUAAAACGAUUAACUAGCCAAUGAAAGCACAUUAUUCUUGUUUGUCGGUCCGGUGAUUAAAAAAAGGACAAACACAGAAGGCUUUGGAUGAUUUGCACAAAAAUAUACACAUUUACAGAGUUUGUGAUUUCAUUGGCUUGUUAAUUUUUUUAGCUCAGCGCGUAGCUCAGGUUGACCGCACAUGGUGAGUAUUUUGUGAGCUGCGUGCUAAGCAAAUUGCCUCGAAUGACUUAUUGCUCAGCAUGUAGCUCUCGUGUGCGGCGGGCUUAAGGUGAUAAUUGUCAGUGUAGCAUCAUUACAACUACUGUUAUUUAAUGAUUACAGAUUGCAUUCAGGUAAUAAAGAUCAAGAGAGUCAAGUCGAUCACAAGUCAAGUCACUAAUCUCUAGUCAAGCAACAGCCCCUUAAAUUCACUACAACGAUGACAUUCCUUUGUCAUUGUUCAUCUUCUUUUACCUGACUUUUAUUGAUUCCUGGCUCUGCUUUCUAAAAAAAGGUUAGAAUUAUGGAUUUUGACUAUGGCAAGAAUAAAACUUUUGCUAAGCAUGUGCCAUAUGAAGUGCACAGAUUCAAUUCAACAACAAAAGGGAAUGGCCAAAAACAAGCAAAGGCAAAGAAGUUAACAGCAAUUGGAAUUGGACAGUUGUGUGUUAUAUUUUAUAUUUUGAUCUCAAAAGCAAUAUACAUGUAUGAUCCAGUUGAAUAAAAGCCAAAAGAUUAUAUUUAAUUCUUUGGUAACUGAGGUGCUUGAAACCACCCUACAGUGAGUAAUAAGUCACUAUGUAGUGCCUGAAACCGCCCAGCACUCAAUGGUUUUAUUAAUUGUUCAGUGAAUAAACACAUUACAAUGUAAAUAAAUAUAAGGUUUUGCCCUACACAGACUUAUAAACACUGUUUACACAGUGUGUUACCUUCUGAGUGAAAGUUGGAAAAAAAAUCACUCGGUCGGGACUCAAACGCACGACUUCCUGCCUUCUAGUGCAGACGCCCCACCACUCAACCACCGAGCUAACGGGAUUGGUUGGCUGGUUCGAACCCGAUGUACAAAGCAGCGGGUACCACAUUUAAAUAUUCACAAAGAAUAGUUACACAUUACAAUGUAGUACAAGUGGUAAUGGGUUAAAUGAUUAAACACAUAUGACCAAAAAAAAGUUUGAGUGAACAUUCAAUUAAAAUAUAAGAUAUUUCAUUA